UCUUUCUAUAAGCAUUCUAGCUAUCUGUGGUUAAGGACUCUGAUGUAUAGAUGUUGUAAGGUUAAUUUUAUGGGUUUGCAUGUCAAAAAUUAAAGUUGUUGCUGAGCCACUGAAGCUCCUGGUCGUUGUCAGAGCUGCUGCCGGUUAAGUUUGGGGUGGCUGGCGCGUCGUUCUUUUAUUCCAGAGUUAAUAACGGGGUUGCAUGUUGGGACUUGAAGAUGUUUAUGCUGUGGCGAAAGUGUGCGGGCUAUGAAUUAAAGCUGUCGUUGACUUCGGGUCGAGAGGAAACAAAUUUCUUGAGUCAUUUGGAUUGUGGUUUGAACAUGUCGAGACUUCUCUUUUCAGGAAAUGGACGAAGAAGCUUAUGAAGAGUAGUUCGGUUUAGCUUAUGCGAUAGAAGAUGUUUUAGUUUAGUUAUUAUUAUUCUUCCCUCGUC